ensembl:lncRNA
GGGUAAGGAGGGUAAAUACACUGUCUUUAUGUCAAGAUUAUCUAUGCAGCUUUUAGGCAGUGCUGGAAGCUACUUUUGUUUAAUAAAAGGCUGAUUAAUGAAUGAAGCAACAGAGGUAAAAAGGAAGAUAGAGACGGGGAAAGAAGGACUCAUGCGAAGAGUCAGAGCAUCUGCCAUCUCUUCCCCUUCUACACACAUGAAUAUGUGGAAGGUCCCCGUCUAGUUUUGUGUGAAUUAAAGGCUCAUUUUCUCCAUCUGUUUUUUUUUUUUUUUUUAGUCUGACAGGAGCAGGCACGGCUCGACAUUGCAUCAUUCAGCUGCACCUAGGAUUUUUUUUCUUUCUUUUUUUAUUAAGCAUCAAAGGAAUCUGGUGCUUUGAGCAGACGAGUUUUUCACCAUAGGAAAGAGGAAGACAUUUUUUGCUCUCUCUAUUGGACCCAUCGCCUUUAUCCAUUAAGUACAUUUUUCAGCCGAUCAGAUCAAAGUGUUCACUGCAAGACAAAAGCGUCUCUUGCAUAACAGCAUAACGCUGUUUUCUUAAGACUUCUUUAAGCUCACUAAUUAAUAACAUACUAACUUCCAGCACCAGUGCACUCUCUGAAAAGGAUGUCAGAAUCACUACAUUCCAAGAAUAACUGCAACUUUUCACUUCCUCCAUGCCCUCACAGGUUGUGUGUGUGUGUUACAUUAUGGGCUGGGAGCUAUAUGAAACUUUCUUCUUCAUUUGCUGCAUUUAAAUCUCUGUAUUACCAAACCUGGUAGUUUCUCAGAAGCAAUGACUAGCCACGAAUUGGAUUUGAGAGGCAAUUAGCUGUUUUUUCUGAUGCUUUAGAUUGAAUCUCUUUUGUAAUUAGAGUGUUACACAGGGGUAAUUCGUUUAGCGUAUUUUGUUACUGUACUAAUAAACUUGUCACUGACCCACCGGGAAUAUCUGCUGUUCAACAUAGGGAUUUGGUUGAUUCUUGAGUUUUAAAAAAAAAAAAGUGCCCAGCUUCCAGUUUUCAGUUUAGAAACAUUGCAGUUAUGCACACUGUAUCGUCCUGAU